CGGCCUGAGAAAGAGAAGAAGAAGAGGGUGAAACAGGUAAAGUAGCUUAAACAGUAGAGCAUAGCACUAGCAACACCAAGGUCGUUGGUUCGAUUCCUAUGGAAGGCAUUAGACCUCCAAUGCAAUUGGAUAAAAGCAUUUGCUACAUGCAUAAAUGGGAAUAUAAAUGUAAAGGCUAAUUUCCCAUGUGCCAUUUAAAGCCCUGUGAAGACUAUAAAUCAGCAGGCUGCCAUAAGAGGGAAAGUUUGGCACUAGACAAUAUCAUUAAAAUCUUAGCUUAAAUCCUCUACAGCAGGGGCACUUACAGUAAUUCUGCUCCUGGAGGUCGUCCACCCUGCACAGUUUAGUUUUAACUCUUGAAAGUUUUAACACAGCAUCGUGUCAUUUCAAAUAUAAGCUGUUUAAUUAGAGUCACUUAUCAUCAUACAGUAUCCCGUGAGCAAUGCUAUUUCGGGUUGUGUAUCCUAUUUAAGAGUGCUCCUAAAAUCCUGAACUUCUUCCACCCUAGAACAAAAGCAGUGAACAAACACCACAUCAAACAAACCCAAGACUCGUGAAAGGUUCUGCUGAAGGCCUGAGGCAGUGAAAGUGAAAUCUUGCUGAGCUGUGUUGACCCUUCCCUCAAUCUGCUAAAUGGAGUUCAAAAGUUAAAGGUCAGUCUUACAGCAUUGUAUGGAAAGGAGCAUCAUCUGCUAAAUUUGCUUUUAGGAGAAAGAAGGUCUCCUGAAGCAUGUUUCUAAUGAUGAGGACUAUCUAAUAGAGCCUCGACGCGAGGGAGGGUGAAUGGAGCAGCCGGAGAGAUCGAGAGAGGGGGUGAAUGGGUGCAGUGUCGAAUGCCCUCCUCACUAAAACAGGAAGUUUCCACUGGUUCUGCCCAACGCUGCCAAUGUGCCCUUUCUACUGCCCAGAUGAAACAUCUUCCCGUCGUCAUGGUAACGGGCAUAAACAAUAGCCAGAUGUGGUUAGGGACCCUCUUCUCCCAUUAACAGCCUAGAGCUCAAGUCAUACGCUAUAAAAGAGCAACCUCGGAGCACUUCUUCUGGGAUCUGCACACACCAUGACCCCACAACUCUGUAAUUAUCAAAUUCGAAAAAGGAGCAACACAUAAUCACGCAACACAAACUCACUUUACCAAAAUAUUUAAAGCACCGGCUCCUAAAAAAAAGCUACGUUAUUAUGGGAUUUGGGAUAUAAUCAUCCAUCCAUACGCAGAGAUCUCUUCAUUCUUCCAGCUUCCUCCAGAUGCGGGUGGCUGGCAUCCAGAUGUUGGAUUUGGUAAAAGACACUUAUGCGGUUUUCCAUCAUUAAGACACGGCUCCUCCCACGACAACACUCCGCAGACGGUACAAGUUGAGCUUAAUGAGACUAAUGGGCUGACUCAUAAACCACAAACAUGUGCACACCUUUUAUCUCACGCACAUGGCUUCAACAAUUAACCACCGGAGAGACGGAAAGGGCAAGAGAGAGGCGGACAGAUGUGCAGAAAGCACGAGGCGGUCCGUCAUACACGCGUGGCUUUUCACAUCAACAAAAAUGAAAGAAGAAGGAAGACAUGCAGGGUAUUCCUAUAGAGUUGGCAUUCUCCGAAGAUACAAGCUUAUCAGGGCAUGUGUGGGCCAGGUUUCAUGGCAGCAGAUGUUCGCAUGCUGACCAAAAUCACAAAUCAGGAAGUGUGAGCCACGAAUUCAAUCCGUUUCAGCAGAUGGAUAUCGACCAAAUUGCUUUGGUGGGCUCCAAUGACACAAUCUCUGGCUCGAACACGAGGCUCAGCGCAAUAACAACAAGUGCAGUGAAGAGAAUGUGAAUUAGGCCCGUUAAUCAAACCUUAUCUCACUUCUACAUUUAUGUUACAAAGGCUAAAUAACUUAGCUUGAAGCUCAUUUGUAUUAUGUAUCUGAAUAACACUGAUUCUCAAAUGUUACUCCAGCUGUACAAUUGUCCACAUUUCUCCUAUAAUA